UAAAAGCAAAAAAGUUUGUGGCCUGUCUCUCAGGAGUUAGCCAGAGGGAGGGCCGCGCUCUGUAUUAUUGCGGGAGGAAGAGGCCAGAUUAGGGCUUCAAGCCUCAGCUGGGGCGUGAUGGCAGGACAAAGGGUUGUGAACCCACCUGGGGAUGAGGCCUGGUCUUGUGGAAACUGAACUUAGCUUCGUGGGGCUGACAGCCCUGGCCCAGGGUGGUAUGUAAUUUUGGCUCGCCUGGGACCGGGUCCAGGCCAGGCCCAGCACGGUGGAUCCCAGGUGUGUGCGGGGCCAGACCCCUGGUCAGAGGAGAGGGUGGUCUCUGGAAUGAAUCAGUAGGUAAGGUGCCACCCUAAGCGCUUACUGCUGUGGCACGUAGUGUGUCUUGGCAGGGGGGCUGCCGAGGCAGGAUGUGUGCCUGCGGAGGAAAUUGACCCACCCUUUAUUUUCCAGGUGGCAGUGCUUCCCUUUGGACUUUUCCUCUAGGUUCCGUGCUAACUUCUGUGACCUCACUCUGCCCCCCCUACCUUUACCUCUCAAGGUUAACCGUUCACUUAAAACAUUGCUUCUGGUAAUCCGGUAAGCUUGGGAAAAUUGCUCCGUCCCUGUUGGAGCCGGUAUUCCUGGUAAUGGAGGAGGAUAGGCACUCCCCACUGAGACGCGGGUGGGGCGGGUUGGUUUGCCUGCCUGUGGAGGUGGGAUUGAACGGGCACGCGCGGGUGGGCCCGCAGCGAUGGCACCAGCCGUAUUACUGAAAUGCUUCGUGGACCGCGGUUUGUUACUGUAGCGUUCAUCAUGGCGAUCAGAUGGCACCAGGAGAAAUGGAGCGCUUGGCCAGUGAGUCGUAGCAGUGCAGGAGGGGAGACCCUGAAGGAGAGAGGCCGCCUAAAUUGAUGUCUGCAGAUUGAAUUUCCAGAGGCUUAGGAGGUGGAAAUUCUCCAAUGUCAUGUUUCCAGGCCGUGCUCAGGAAGCCCUGUAUUCAGGAGGCCACCACCUAAGGUUUUCAGAUGAGCUUAUGAGAGGGCAGUCUCUAAAAAAAGUCCAGAGCAGCUGCAUCCUGGGCCUUCAGCAGGUGUGCUGCUUUGAAUGCUACGUGAGCGCCAACCUCCAGGCACCCCUCCUUUUCUAGGAUGGAGGUUUUCAGAUGCUGCAUCUUCUAUAUUGAGCCUCCUGUCAUAUUAGUUCUGUGCUACGAACCUUGCUUCGAGAAGAUUCUUAAGCUGUAGAACAUUUUAACGUUGGUGCCGCAACGCAGAGUGAUGCCUUCUAGAUGGAGCUUGCAGAUGGAGCCCAGUGACCCACUCACCUGCCCGCCUGCCUGCCUGUGUAUUGGCCAGAGGAAUUAUUAGUGUGAUGCUGUAACCUGUGUGUUGGAAAAGUGUUCCAGCUUGAAAUGCCUUCAGCAAAUAUUUAGACGAGCAGACUGGCAAAUUAGUUGGGUGUUGGGGGGUCAUUGUGUUCUGUGGUCUGGGAGGGUACAGGUUGGUCAUGCCCAGAUUCUUUUAGAAAUGGCAAGCCUAGUUUGGGCAUUCCUAUUGCGUUGCAGAACGGUGGGGGUACUGGUUAAUCUGUGAUUCAUUUUUUACUUUUUUUUUAAGUUGAAAUUUGAAAGCAAUCUUGGUGUUAAUGGGAGGAGCCUGGGGUGAGGGCACUGGCAUGGGGUGGGGAGAAAGAUGGAGACCAGGGAGAGGGUUGGUUGGGUUGGGUGUAUGUUGCAGAGAGUGGGGGGACCUGAGCAAGUGAGAAUUCUGAGCAAAGUGAAAAUGCAAUGAUUUCUAAAGGAAUUUUGUAUGUUACUUCAUGCCACGCCACUGUGGUCAUUAACAGCAAAAGCUCUUCCUCUUUUCAGAGUCUUUGUAACAAGAAUGGAAUGACCUUUUUGUGGUCACUAUAAAAUUAGUAUCUGGUAGCAAACAAUCCAUGUACCCUUGCUUAAGGUUGGAGUUAAUAAUAUGUUACAUCUUUAGUUUUAAUGUUUGUGCUUUUAAUGACCCAGUACUAGGGGGUAACCCCACCAAAAUCAGUUUGUGGGUUUGAAGGGAAUUCUUUGUGAAAAAGACCAGUAGUAGAGCUCUGGGGAAUGUUGUAGACUCAUGGGUGAAGAAAAUUACUAGUUAGUACCUAGUGAUACUGUAACGCUGGUUAAGUUGUCAUUGGAAGCACAAAAGCUGCUUGGAAACUUUCUAAUGGUGCUUAGAACUCUAAAGUGAAGGGAACAAAGCAAAAUUGUUUUGCUUUGUUGCAAGGUGGGGAAACUGAAAAGGUAUUAAAUGAAAACCUGAGUAUCAGUCACUUGAAAGUUGGCUGUCAGAAACUUCCAUCAGCAGAUAACAUCCUUCGCUGCUUUGCAAGCUUCUUAGAUGGUUCAUCUGAAGCUGUGAAGGCAUGCAAUAUUCAGGAGCAGUGAGUCUUAGAAGACUAAAUGCCCAAAUUGUGGGCUUUUAUUAAAAGUAUGUAAGAUGAGAUGGUGUGUACUUGAGAUGUACUCUUAAUAGGUUUGGAACAUUUGUUUGCAGAGAUUUUGUGACUGAGAAUUCUGAGCAAAGUGAAAAUGCAAUGAUUUCUAAAGGAAUUUUGUAUGUUACUUCCUGCCACGCCACUGUGGUCAUUAACAGCAAAAGCUCUUACUUCUUUUCAGAGUCUUUGUAACAAGAAUGGAAUGACCUUUUUGUGGUCACUAUAAAAUUAAUAUCUGGUAGCAAACAAUCCAUGUACCCUUGCUUAAGGUUGGAGUUAAUAAUAUGUUACAUCUUUAGUUUUAAUGUUUGUGCUUUUAAUGACCCAGUACUAGGGGGUAACCCCACCAAAAUCAGUUUCAGGAAUGAGCAAAAGGGGUGACUGGUUGGGAGGGAACUUUACCACAUGUGGUCUGUUUGUAAAAAUUCGGAGAAAAUUAUCCUUUAUGACCCUACUUGUGCAUCUGUUGAAUUGCUAGAUAAAGUAAUACCAAUGGCUUUUUUACAUGCUGCUCCCCUUACAUUUCAUUUAAAAAUUUUAAAUCCCUAAUACUCCCUGCUCUUACGGUUUUUCCGGAUUCUUUUUUCAUGUUUAAAAAUGUUGGCAUGACAGUUCAGUUAAUGACCAGUUGCAUGUGGAAUAGUUACUGUCAUUAAUUUAAAGAGCAUCAGUCUUACCUAUGCGGGGAAAUACGUUCUGGGUGUGUUGUUUGAGACAUUGCAACUGUAAAAGGAGGUAAAGUGCUUGUAUGUUGCUCUGUAUGGUAAAUAAUCUUGUUAAGUCAUGUACCUGAUUACUAAUCAGUUUUUCUUCCCCUUUACAGUACAAAUAAAGGUUUGAGUUCUAAACUCAUUGGAAUUGUA